rnacentral:rRNA from 1 species
GUGCCAGCAGCCGCGGUAAUACGUAGGUCCCGAGCGUUGUCCGGAUUUAUUGGGCGUAAAGCGAGCGCAGGCGGUUUCGUAAGUCUGAAGUUAAAGGCUGUGGCUUAACCAUAGUUUGCUUUGGAAACUGCGAGACUUGAGUGCAGAAGGGGAGAGUGGAAUUCCAUGUGUAGCGGUGAAAUGCGUAGAUAUAUGGAGGAACACCAGUGGCGAAAGCGGCUCUCUGGUCUGUAACUGACGCUGAGGCUCGAAAGCGUGGGGAGCAAACAGGAUUAGAUACCCUGGUAGUCCACGCCGUAAACGAUGAGUGCUAGGUGUUAGGCCCUUUCCGGGGCUUAGUGCCGCAGCUAACGCAUUAAGCACUCCGCCUGGGGAGUACGACCGCAAGGUUGAAACUCAAAUGAAUUGACGG